rnacentral:rRNA from 1 species
GACAGAGGGUGCAAACGUUGUUCGGAAUUACUGGGCGUAAAGCGCAUGUAGGCGGCCAAGCAGGUCGGAUGUGAAAUCCCUCGGCUCAACCAAGGAAGUGCAUUCGAAACCGCAUGGCUGGAGUCCCGGAGAGGAAGGUGGAAUUCUCGGUGUAGAGGUGAAAUUCGUAGAUAUCGAGAGGAACACCUGUGGCGAAAGCGGCCUUCUGGACGAGGACUGACGCUGAGAUGCGAAAGCGUGGGGAGCAAACAGG